rnacentral:lncRNA from 1 species
CCACGUUCUCAAGCGAGGACAGACAAAAACGAGAGUAGCUGAACUGAUCAGGCUUGAAAGGUCCUUUUCUUCAUUGGUAGAAGAGUUGACUUGCAAAGGGAAUCUUUACAGCUUUCAAAAAUAUCUUCAGAGGUUGAUGAAGCUUUAGUCACUCAAGAAGUUCUGAAGACUUCAUCAUCUGAAGGUUGUAACUUCUGAAGUCCAACAUCUUCUGAGCGCUUGUGAACUUCUGAAUUCACAUCCUCUGAGCUUCACUCAGAGCUUAUCUGAUGCUAAUAUCUGCGCACUUAAAAUAAAUUUUUAGUCC